UACGUAGGGGGCUAGCGUUGUCCGGAAUCAUUGGGCGUAAAGAGCGUGUAGGCGGCCCGGUAAGUCCGCUGUAAAAGUCAAAGGCUCAACCUUUGAAUGUCAGUGGAUACUGCCGGGCUAGAGUCCGGAAGAGGCGAGUGGAACUCCUGGUGUAGCGGUGGAAUGCGCAGAUAUCAGGAAGAACACCAACGGCGAAGGCAGGUCUCUGGGCCACUACUGACGCUGAGAAGCGAAAGCAUGGGGAGCGAACAGG
rnacentral:rRNA from 1 species